UGUAAUUUAGUUUAGAAAGAAUAUUUGUUUUUGGUGCAAAAGGGGCUAGUUACAA
rnacentral:tRNA from 1 species